rnacentral:rRNA from 1 species
ACCAGACUCCUACGGGAGGCAGCAGUGGGGAAUAUUGCACAAUGGGGGAAACCCUGAUGCAGCGACGCCGCGUGAGUGAAGAAGUAUUUCGGUAUGUAAAGCUCUAUCAGCAGGGAAGAAAAUGACGGUACCUGACUAAGAAGCCCCGGCUAACUACGUGCCAGCAGCCGCGGUAAUACGUAGGGGGCAAGCGUUAUCCGGAUUUACUGGGUGUAAAGGGAGCGUAGACGGCAGGGCAAGUCUGGAGUGAAAGGCAGGGGCCCAACCCCUGGACUGCUCUGGAAACUGUCCGGCUGGAGUGCAGGAGAGGUAAGUGGAAUUCCUAGUGUAGCGGUGAAAUGCGUAGAUAUUAGGAGGAACACCAGUGGCGAAGGCGGCCUGCUGGACGAUGACUGACGUUGAGGCUCGAAAGCGUGGGGAGCAAACAGGAUUAGAUACCCUAGUACGG